UGGUGGGCACUGCAAAACUUGCUCGCUGACUGGCCUCGUCUUCAAGGAAGGAAGACAGUCUGGGAUGAAUCUUCGCUAGUGGCAGCGGUGGCCUUCUCUUCCUCUGCAUGUUUUAGUUUGGAAGCCUGGGAGCGUACGAGUGAGUUGCCUGAUGCACGACCCAAGGUUUGGAAGAAGAACAAGUCGUACUAGUUCCUGAAACCGAAAAUUGAAUGCUGGGGUUGUAUUGUACUGCAUGCCAACUAACUGCAUCUAGGACUGUUAAUUUGGACUUGUAA